rnacentral:lncRNA from 1 species
GGGUCUGAUUUAGAUUAGCCAAAUGUUGGCACCUACCUGAAUUUCUCUUAUUUGGUUUGGCCUAAUUGGAAUGGGUUAGCUUUGACUUGGUGUUAUGGAUGGAUAUGGACUAAAGAGUCCAUGUGGUUAUGGACUCAUAACCAAACACCCACAUCACCUUUUUAUCUGAGUUUUUCCAUGCCAAAAGAGUGAGAUGGUGCCUACAAUAUAGGCCCUUGGAUGG